rnacentral:misc_RNA from 1 species
GGCGAACUUUGCGGCCCAGGAGAGGGCGAGGACCUCGUUCUGGCGGCGGCCGGUAAAGUAAUUGGCGAUGAACAUGAUGAGGAAGCUGACGCAGAUGAUCUCGACGGUGUAGGUGCGGAAGGAGAAGGGAGGCGGGGGUAGCGCGGGCUCCGGCGGCGGGAUCAGGGACUCGGAGACAGGAGCGGUGUUUGAUAUCGGAGUUUCGACUUCCGGGAGACCCUCGAACUCGUCCUCGUCCCAGAAGUCGAGGGAGGAGGGGGGUUUGGGAGCCGGAUCGGAGGGGAUCGGCGGCAGC